rnacentral:misc_RNA from 1 species
ACAAGUUUGCAAAAACUUUUGAUUGUGUGUGAACUGUUAUACUGUAGAACCGUGUGUGCGUUGGUUGCGCAUGGUGUUGGCCUUUGGGUCAUGCACCGCACUGAUGCACACCGGAAUCCAACUUGAACCAACUUUGAAACUGAUUGACUGAAGUAAUAAAGAGUAAACCUAGA